CCUCCCCGAGGUUCUGCUUCACGCUACGAGCUUUUGGCAGCGCUGUCUCUCUAGUCAACCUGGCAACAGCUCCCUCAUGCACUGUAGACUGACAAGAAAAGAGUUCACUUCCAGUAUACCGUUGCAUUAGUCCAAAAAAAUGGUUCUCCUGUGACUUUUCAUAAUGUAAAAUCUGUCUCCUUGUAACGGAGAGAAAGUGAGGCACUCUGGACAAGCCUGUUGAUGAGCGUUCAUUUGUUCAGCAAGGCAUCUUAUAUCAGACGCAACAGGAAAUGUUUGUAAAAAUGGUCAUUUUCACAGGAAUGACCCUUCGGGGAGAAGCUUCGCCGCUGGCCAUUCGUUCCUGCUUAAAGGGACUAAUUCAGUAACUAACUGCAAAGGACAAAACUACACUGUCACGCAGGGAAAAUGCUCUCCUGGGGUAGGAAUGAGGCAGUCUCCCUGUUUGGACUUCCUCCUUCCUUCCUGGACGUCCUGGUCCCAACAAAGACCCCUCACCUGAGCAGGGUGUUGUGGGGAAUGUGGACACACUUGAAGAGGAGUCCAGAUAUAAAAAGCACCAUAAAAGCAUCAUAACCUUGUAUGGCAUCGCCAGCGGCCUGAAUAUUUGUGGCAGAAGCUCGUCGCUGCGACAGGAGGGAAGAACCUAAUCUUCGCUCACAUCCAGAAAGCGUAAUCCGUUCAAAGUGGCACCUCACGCAGGAGAAGAACAAAAAUUACCAUUCAUCUUCCAUCAAGGCGCACAGCUAAAUCUGCGUUUCAUCUCCUCGACUGACUCAGCUGAGGCGAAGGUGCACCGACAGCGAAUGUGACAUCUGAUUUGUAGGCUGUCUAAUCACAGGAGAGGGUGUACAUUUUCUCUUGAAAAAGGGCUCUGUUCGCAGGAGAGCCUGUCCUAAUUGAACGUGCAUGAGGAGAAGCCGUUCAGAGAUCACAGGAGCAACAGUAACUCUCUAACAGCGAGUACGCUGGGGUCGGAGGUGACUAGCCCGUGAUAUGAUGCACCAGAUUCCUCCAUGACAACAGCAGCUCUGUGUGUCGGCUCCUGAGGCGCCCGGCGCAGCGCGAAUGAGUGCGCACGGCCUCCGAACCGCCGUCUGGAACUGAUUAAUGACAGUUUGCCUUCUCUGUUCUCUUUCCUUACAUUCCUUUCUUAAAGGGCGUUCACACUGACAGCAAUUUGAGUCUGCAAGACAUUCAUUUACAAGGAGAGUGGGCAAUUUCUGGAAAUAUGAGUGACAGGGACCGUUAGCCGGACCGCCUACUAGCAGCAAUAGAUUAGCAUACUAACAAACUAAUCAUACUCUGUGCACAGUGUGCAAAUUUUCUAUAGGUAUGUUUGGCAUACUUUAUUAAACUACAUUUGACAUAAUGUGCACAACAAAGAACAUGGUGCAGCAGUGAACUCAACUUGACCUUCCAGUUUAAGCAGUGAUUUUAAACUCUUUUUUGACUCAUUGUUUGAUCAGUAUGCCAAAAAACAUAUCUUUUGAUGCCACAUACAAUAUAAUGUGACAAAAACACUUAAAAAUCAGUGGUUAUUAAAAAAAAAAAAAAAAAAACUGUUAAAAGUCAUUUUCAGUAAUUAAAAUGAAGCUGAAAUAAAAUAAAAUAUAAAUAUUAAAUGGAAAAAACAAAAUUAGCCAAAUUUAGAAAUGUACUAAAAUUGCCCAGACUAAAAUAAAAAUAAAGCUAAAUUUAUAUAUAUAUAUUUAAAAAAAAAAAAAAAAAUGACUUAAGCACAUACAACAACUAAAAUUAAAAUGAAAACUCAAAAUAUGAUUCAAACUCAAAGCUAAUUCAAUAUAUUAAUAAAUACUAUAAUAGUAUAUAAAUAAUACUGAAAUAACACUGUUAAAAACACUUAUUGCUGCAUAAUGUAUAAUUUAUAUAUUUUUUAUACAUUUUGCAAGUCUAUUUCCAGCUUUCUUUAUUUAAAAUAACCGUAAACUAACAUUUCCAGAGAUUUUUGCACAAAAUCAUAAUAAAAAACACAGAACAUUUUGUAAAGGUUUAAAAGUCUGUUUGUCUGUAGUCUGUAAAGUCACUAAUGAUUAUUUUGGUAAUCGGUCGAUUAUUUUGACGAUUAUUUGAGUAAUCAGAUAUUUUUUGUGGUAAACCCCGCCCCAGAGAACACACAACAAAGGGGGCGAGGCCAUGUUGGGCUGCUUUAGAGAAGAGGAAGAGUUGUUGUAGUAGAGUGUUGUUGUGAUGCCGUCAUUUUACACCGGACUGAUUCACAAACGAAUUCAACGCUGUAUUUGCACAAAAGAUUAACAUGACGGCACAUGCUAGUCGAUGAGUUGAAUCAACUCCACAGCAACUACAUAAAUUUAUCCACUAACCAUUCAGAAACGUCUAAAAGUUGUAACUUCUUCCUGAGUCUCUCCAUCAGUGUCGACUCCGGUUUGAACAAUGUAAGGCUGAACACUUUUGUCAUUUUGUCUGUGUGAGAUUCUCCAGCUUUGUUGUUGUUGAGCGACCGAAGCGCGAGCUGUUAAAGCUCCGCCCUCUUCUGGAAAGCGGGCAGCUCAUUUGCAUUUAAAGGGACACACACAAAAACGGCGUGUUUUUGCUCACACCCAAAUAGGGGCAAAUUUGACAAGCUAUAAUAAAUGAUCUGUGGGGUAUUUUGAGCUGAAACUUCACAGACACAUUCUGGAGACACCAGAGACUUAUAUUACAUCUUGUGAAAGGGGACUCUUUAAAUUACUGGGUCAAAAAAAGGUAAAAAACGAAACGCAUGCACAAAUGAAUUGUGCACAGUAAGAUCAAUAACAUAAAUUAAAUGAAAAAGAUUAAAUUUCAUUUCAUGCUGACUUUAAACAUCAGAUAUCUU